UACGAAGGGGGCUAGCGUUGUUCGGAAUCACUGGGCGUAAAGCGCACGUAGGCGGAUGUGCCAGUCAGGGGUGAAAUCCCGGAGCUCAACUUCGGAACUGCCUCUGAUACAGCACGUCUUGAGUCCGGAAGAGGUGGGUGGAAUUCCUAGUGUAGAGGUGAAAUUCGUAGAUAUUCGGAAGAACACCAGUGGCGAAGGCGGCUCACUGGUCCGGUACUGACGCUGAGGUGCGAAAGCGUGGGGAGCAAACAGG
rnacentral:rRNA from 1 species